rnacentral:rRNA from 1 species
CUGGCUCCGUUCCGGGGUCCGAGUUGUAAUUUGUAGAGGAUGCUUCGGGCGCGGCACCGGUCUAAGUCCCUUGGAACAGGGCGUCAUAGAGGGUGAGGAUCCCGUAUGUGACCGGCGACCAAGUCCAUGUGAAGCUCCUUCGACGAGUCGAGUUGUUUGGGAAUGCAGCUCAAAAUGGGUGGUAAAUUUCAUCUAAAGCUAAAUACCGGCCAGAGACCGAUAGCGCACAAGUAGAGUGAUCGAAAGAUGAAAAGCACUUUGGAAAGAGAGUCAAAAAGUACGUGAAAUUGUUGAAAGGGAAGCGCUUGUAACCAGACCUGCCCUCGGGUGCUCAGCGGGCACUUGUGCCCGCCUACUCACCCGCGAUCAGGCCAGCAUCGGUUUUGGCGGCCGGAUAAAGACUCGAGGAAUGUAGCUUCGCUUCGGGGAAGUGUUAUAGCCUCGGGUGCAAUACGGCCAGCCGGGACCGAGGACCGCGCUUCGGCUAGGAUGCUGGCGUAAUGGUUGCAAGCGACCCGUCUUGAAACACGGACCAAGGAGUCUAACAUCUAUGCGAGUGUUUGGGUGUCAAACCCAUGCGCGGAAUGAAAGUGAACGGAGGUGGGAACCCUCGAGGGCGCACCAUCGACCGAUCCGGAAGUUUACGGAUGGAUUUGAGUAUGAGCAUAGCUGUUGGGACCCGAAAGAUGGUGAACUAUGCCUGAAUAGGGUGAAGCCAGAGGAAACUCUGGUGGAGGCUCGCAGCGGUUCUGACGUGCAAAUCGAUCGUCAAAUUUGGGUAUAGGGUACGUAAGCCUGUUUCUCCCCCCUAUUUUUUUAUUCAUGUUUUGCUUCUGGGAACCUACCUACGAUUGAUACUAAUUAUGGUUUUAUAGGGCGAAAGACUAAUCGAACCAUCUAGUAGCUGGUUCCUGCCGAAGUUUCGUGAGUUCUUCCCGAGGAGCCUCCCUAAUAUAAGCCUCUACUAACAAUUUCAUUAGCCUCAGGAUAGCAGUAACGUUUUCAGUUUUAUGAGGUAAAGCGAAUGAUUAGAAGCCUUGGGGAUGAAACAUCCUUAACUUAUUCUCAAACUUUAAAUAUGUAAGAAGUCCUUGUUACUUAGUUGAACGUGGACAUUUGAAUGCACCGUUACUAGUGGGCCAUUUUUGGUAAGCAGAACUGGCGAUGCGGGAUGAACCGAACGUGGGGUUAAGGUGCCGGAAUGUACGCUCAUCAGACACCAGGGGGGAGAGACUUGUGGUGUCGGGCUGGGGGGGAGAGAGGCCCCUCCAGCGUCAGUCUGCUCAAGGCGAGGUCUUUGACCUGUUAGGGGUCGGUGGUCGCUCCGCGACGGCCUACCCUCCGCUGUCCCCUCCUCCGGGGGCAGCUCACAGAUCAAGCAAAGGCCGGCGGCAGGAUGCCGUUGGAGAUAUGAUCGGCCCCUGGAGG